UCCUUAACGCUAUUAUAAACAACAAUUGCCCCUCACAUGCUAAUGGGCAACCUGAUGUCACAGAAAUCAUCACAGAAUCUGGAAUCAGAAUUCCUGAGACAGUUUGGCAACGUCACCACCUACUUCCUGUGACUUGGGCAAAUCACUUCAUCUCUCUGAGCCUGUUUCCUCAUCUGUAACAUUUAAAUUAAGCAUAAGUGUGCUGCUCUUUGAGGAAGCGCGGUGGUUGUUGGGGAUCCUGGAUCUGCUCCCGCUCCCGCUGCUCCUGCUCCUGCUCACCACUGUUCACUCUCGCCAAGGAACAAGUUGGUCAGGAAACCGCGCAGUAGCCAUGCCUUUUAGGGAUACCAGAAAAACACCUGUGGAACCAGAGGGGGCAAUUCACCGAAUCUGAAUCACUGUCACGAGCCGCAACCUAAAAUCCCCGGAGGAGGUGUGUACUGACGUGAUCAGAGAGCAAAGGAAAAGAAUCUCAGAGUGAAAGGACCUACCAAGACUUUGAGAAUCACUGCAAGAAAAACUCCUUGUGGUGAAGGUUCUAGGACACGGGAUCGUUUCCAGAUGAGAAUCUACACGCGACUCAUUGACUCGCACAGCCCUUCUGAGAUUGCUAAGCAGAUGACUUCCAUCAGCAUUGAGCCAGGAGUUGAGGUGGAAGUCACCAUUGCAGACGCUUAAGUCAGCUAUUUUAAUAAACUGAUUACCAGUUGUUAAAAAAACA
rnacentral:lncRNA from 13 species